GUGAGGAAUUUUCCGCAAUGGGCGAAAGCCUGACGGAGCAAUGCCGCGUGAAGGAUGAAGGCUUAUGGGUUGUAAACUUCUUUUCUCAGAAAAGAAUUAUGACGGUAUCUGAGGAAUAAGCAUCGGCUAACUCUGUGCCAGCAGCCGCGGUAAGACAGAGGAUGCAAGCGUUAUCCGGAAUGAUUGGGCGUAAAGCGUCUGUAGGUUGUUUAAAAAGUAUUCUGUCAAAGAUUAGGGCUUAACCCUAGAUAGGCAGAAUAAACUUUUAAGCUAGAGUGUGGUAGAGGCAGAGGGAAUUCCCGGUGGAGCGGUGAAAUGCGUAGAUAUCGGGAGGAACACCAAAGGCGAAGGCACUCUGCUGGGCCAAUACUAACACUGAGAGACGAAAGCGAGGGGAGCAAAUGGGAUUAGAUACCCUGGUAGUCC
rnacentral:rRNA from 1 species